UGGGCAGAGGAAAUGUGGAAAAAAGAGAGAGGUGUCACAUGCCAUUCUUCUGAUUUUCAUGAAUAUCCUCUAAAAGGCAGCUAAGCACUCGCUGUCUUCUUCCUUUUGCCUCAUCAAGCACGGGGGACGCUGGAAGGAAGAGGCUCCAGGGACCUACCUGACUUCCUAUUCAUGCUGAUCCCACUGAGACCCUUAUCAACCCUGACCUGUUCCCCAUGUGCCUCUUGGAUCUGCCUUAUGUUCCAGGAACUAACGUUCACUACAGAGAACUUCAGGUUGCAUCAGGGAACAUAUAUACACAGCAGUCGUAUUUGUACAGUUGAGCCGAAAUGCCUGUUCUAACAAAGAGAGCCUGGG
rnacentral:lncRNA from 1 species